rnacentral:sRNA from 1 species
GGGUGGGAAAGAAAGGGCUGCUGAUGAGGGCCGGUGCUGCCAGACUUUCGGAGGCGAGCUGCCACCCACCCACGGAGUCGGACCCCCGGGCAGUAACUGGGGGAGGGCGGCAGUGUCCCGCUGGUUGCCGUUCCCCGCACCCCCCCAGGAGGCUCCACGGGGAGGAGAGGGCCCUUUUUCACACCAAGUUCUGGGGAGGCUGCCUUCCCAACAGCCGGCAUGUGAUGUGAAUCAGUUUACAUCACCUUGACGGGAGCCCUGUGAGGCGGACACUUAUUCCAGUUUCACACGUGGGGAGACUGAGACACAGAGUGGUCAACGUGCAGAGCCCAGAAUCUGCUCCCCGGUAGCUGACUUUGCAGGCAGGCGCCUUGCCCACGCAGCCUCUGCAGAGGGCCCCCGCGCCUCGCGAACCCCAGCAAUGGCCCCUUCCAGACGCCACGUCCAGCUACCGCGCGCUUACACCUGCAGGGCCCCACAAGAGGCCUCCCAGUGUGCGCGGGCCUCUUGAAGAGGUAACUCCACUCAGAGACCCGAAUGAUCCAAACUCGGCUCUGGGAGGCUGGGGACGGCCUUCCAGGCCAAGGGGGGCGCGCGCAGGGCUCAGCGGGGCCCAAGAGCAGGACUGAGGGCUCUGGGUCCUGAGCCACCCACCGA